rnacentral:rRNA from 1 species
GAUGAACGCUGGCGGCGUGCCUAAUACAUGCAAGUCGAGCGAACGGACGAGAAGCUUGCUUCUCUGAUGUUAGCGGCGGACGGGUGAGUAACACGUGGAUAACCUACCUAUAAGACUGGGAUAACUUCGGGAAACCGUAGCUAAUACCGGAUAAUAUUUUGAACCGCAUGGUUCAAAAGUGAAAGACGGUCUUGCUGCCACUUAUAGAUGGAUCCGCGCUGCAUUAGCUAGUUGGUAAGGUAACGGCCUACCAAGGCAACGAUGCAUAGCCGACCUGAGAGGAUGAUCGGCCACACUGGAACUGAGACACGGUCCAGACUCCUACGGGAGGCAGCAGUAGGGAAUCUUCGGCAAUGGGCGAAAGCCUGACGGAGCAACGCCGCGUGAGUGAUGAAGGUCUUCGGAUCGUAAAACUCUGUUAUUAGGGAAGAACAUAUGUGUAAGUAACUGUGCACAUCUUGACGGUACCUAAUCAGAAAGCCACGGCUAACUACGUG